rnacentral:rRNA from 1 species
CACGUAGGGCGCGAGCGUUGUCCGGAAUUAUUGGGCGUAAAGAGCUCGUAGGCGGCCUGUUGCGUCCGCUGUGAAAGCCCCGGGGCUUAACCCCGGGUCGGCAGUGGGAUACGGGGCAGGCUAGAGGUAGGUAGGGGAGAAUGGAAUUCCCGGUGUAGCGGUGAAAUGCGCAGAUAUCGGGAGGAACACCGGUGGCGAAGGCAGAUCUCUGGGCCGUAACUGACGCUGAGGAGCGAAAGCGUGGGGAGCGAACAGG